rnacentral:rRNA from 1 species
AUUGAACGCUGGCGGCAGGCCUAACACAUGCAAGUCGAGCGGAUGAAGGGAGCUUGCUCCUGGAUUCAGCGGCGGACGGGGGAGUAAUGCCUAGGAAUCUGCCUGGUAGUGGGGGAUAACGUCCGGAAACGGGCGCUAAUACCGCAUACGUCCUGAGGGAGAAAGUGGGGGAGCUUCGGACCUCACGCUAUCAGAUGAGCCUAGGUCGGAUUAGCUAGUUGGUGGGGUAAAGGCCUACCAAGGCGACGAUCCGUAACUGGUCUGAGAGGAUGAUCAGUCACACUGGAACUGAGACACGGUCCAGACUCCUACGGGAGGCAGCAGUGGGGAAUAUUGGACAAUGGGCGAAAGCCUGAUCCAGCCAUGCCGCGUGUGUGAAGAAGGUCUUCGGAUUGUAAAGCACUUUAAGUUGGGAGGAAGGGCAGUAAGUUAAUACCUUGCUGUUUUGACGUUACCAACAGAAUAAGCACCGGCUAACUUCGUG